rnacentral:lncRNA from 1 species
UACUACAGAACAGUGUCUGAAGGGACCUCUGAGGGGUCUGUGACCAAUGAACAAGGCCGUGCCAGAGCCACACCUCAAAAUGAAUGUGUCUGUGGAUAAGUCCAUGCUGCAGAAGAGAUACGUCUGAAGAGGUUGUGGUCCAUCAGUAAACCAACACCAGAACAGUGGAGCAGGAAGGGGGAUCUCUCCUUGCUGGUGUGCUCAUUCAGAAGGACCACUGCAGACUGAGUCUGGGCCUGCUGUCCAAAGUUCAGUGCUGUUUCAUGUGAUCGUCCAAAAGGUCACUCAAGUUGUUUUUUGAACAAAGCUUUGGGAUUUUUUUUUUUUUUUUUUUUUUUUUUAUCCUAAUAGAAACAUUUUGGGACCAGAAACUCAGAGUGGCAGCCGGAGUGGCUGUGUUCAUUACCCCACGGAGCCACUCAGAUACAAUAGCCUUGGAAAGACAAAGGGCUGUUUAUUACUGUGGAGCAAUUCUCAGCAGAGACCAUUAUCAGGUGGGAAAGCACUGUCCUGAAGAUCUCUAGGAUCAAAGAAAUAUUAUCCUGUCCUUCCAUUAUGUGAUAUAGAAGAAACAAAACACCUCAUUGCUAGCAGAGAGAAGAACCAGCCACUAAGACGAUCAGAGGGCUGGAGCACCUCUCCUAUGAAAAAAAGGUUGAAGGAACUGGGCUUGUUUCUCUUGGAGAAGAGAAGGCUCCAGGGAGACCUCAUUGUGGCUUUCCAGUAUUUGAAGGGAGCAUAUAAACAGGAGGUGCAACAUCUGUUUACGAGGGUGGAUAGUGAUAGGACAAGGGGGAAUGGUUUUAAACUGAGACAGGGGAGGUUUAGGAGGAAAAACUUAGGAGGAAGUUUUUCACCCAGAGGGUGGUGAUGCACUGGAACAGGUUGCCCAAGGAGGCUGUGGGUGCCCCAUCCCUGGAGGCAUUCAAGACCAGGCUGGAUGUGGCUCUGGGCAGCCUGGUCUGGUGGUUGGUGACCCUGCACAUGGCAGCGGAGUUGAAUCUCGAUGAUCUUUGAGGUUCUUUUCAACCCAGG